rnacentral:misc_RNA from 1 species
AUGGAGAAUUGAUGAACGUUGUUCAUCAAUAUAAGUUUCCGUGUUUCGUUUUGUUCAGUUUUGAGAGAACUAUCUCUCAUAUAUAAAUGUAUGUUCUUUGAAAACUAGAUAACAGUGUAGCUCAUAUUUUUUAAUUUUUAGUUU